AGUGAACGCUGGCGGUAGGCCUAACACAUGCAAGUCGAACGGCAGCACAGUAAGAGCUUGCUCUUACGGGUGGCGAGUGGCGGACGGGUGAGGAAUACAUCGGAAUCUACUUUUUCGUGGGGGAUAACGUAGGGAAACUUACGCUAAUACCGCAUACGACCUACGGGUGAAAGCAGGGGAUCUUCGGACCUUGCGCGAUUGAAUGAGCCGAUGUCGGAUUAGCUAGUUGGCGGGGUAAAGGCCCACCAAGGCGACGAUCCGUAGCUGGUCUGAGAGGAUGAUCAGCCACACUGGAACUGAGACACGGUCCAGACUCCUACGGGAGGCAGCAGUGGGGAAUAUUGGACAAUGGGCGCAAGCCUGAUCCAGCCAUCCCGCGUGGGUGAAGAAGGCCUUCGGGUUGUAAAGCCCUUUUGUUGGGAAAGAAAAGCAGCAGGUUAACACCCCGCUGUUCUGACGGUACCCAAAGAAUAAGCACCGGCUAACUUCGUG
rnacentral:rRNA from 1 species